rnacentral:misc_RNA from 1 species
UUUCCGUAGGUGAACCUGCGGAAGGAUCAUUAUUGUAUAACCGAGGUGCGAGGGCUGUCGCUGACCCGAAAGGUCGUGCACGCCCGAGUGCCCUCACUCACUUCCAUCUCACCCCUAUGUGCACCACCGCGUGGGUCCCCCUUUGGCUUGUUCGGAGGGGGGCUUACGUUUUCACACAGACUUUGUAUGCAGUGUAGAAUGUAUUUUUUGUGUUUGCGAUCACGCAAUAAAUACAACUUUCAACAACGGAUCUCUUGGCUCUC